CUGAGACGAGCUGUUGGUAGAUUCAUGAAGCCAAAAGGAAGAGUGGCACAAAGUCCACUGAAGCUCCAUGCCUCCCGAGGAGCAGUCCAGAAACAUACUGGCCAUUCAGAGAAGAAAAAGGGGCUUCCUGGUUUUCUCUGGCACCUGCAGGAAGAGCGUUCUUCUGACUACAUCUGUACACCUAAGGAGUACGCUGGAGAAGUGUCACCAGGCUGUUUUGAUUUAAGAGGACUGCAGUGGAAAUUGGCCUUUGACGGAGUAGCAUAAUUCAGUCAAUAAUCACACUGAAGUGACUGAAGACGAGAAGCUUCCAUAUAAAAAAGAUCUUUUAUGAGUAGGAAUAUCUCUAUGGCAACCAUGUUAGACAUACAAGAGGUCUCAUUUAGGAACAAAGAUGACAACAGGCAUGGCCAAAGACUGCAGAUGGACGUACUGGUCUCCACAGCCAUCAAAAUCGCAUCCAAUCGGCUGCAGCCAAGACCACCUCUGAAGCUCACUGAACUUGACAUUUGUCUUGAUAACUCUAAUAAAUUUGGAAU